rnacentral:snoRNA from 1 species
UGAUGAUGAUGUGGGCAGCUCAUCGACAUCGAUUUAAACCUGUCCCAAGCUUGGUACAAGGUCUCUCCCCCUUUCUGUCUAAAGCUCAAAAUAUCACUCCUCAACUU